rnacentral:rRNA from 1 species
UACGUAGGGAGCAAGCGUUGUCCGGAAUCAUUGGGCGUAAAGCGCGCGUAGGUGGCCCCAUAAGUCCGCUGUGAAAGUCAAAGGCUCAACCUUUGAAAGCCGGUGGAUACUGUGGGACUAGAGUACGGAAGAGGCGAGUGGAAUUCCUGGUGUAGCGGUGGAAUGCGCAGAUAUCAGGAGGAACACCGGUGGCGAAGGCGGAUCUCUGGGCCAUAACUGACGCUGAGGAGCGAAAGCAUGGGGAGCGAACAGG